rnacentral:rRNA from 1 species
AUUGAACGCUGGCGGCAUGCCUUACACAUGCAAGUCGAACGGUAACGCGGGGAAACCUGGCGACGAGUGGCGAACGGGUGAGUAAUGCAUCGGAACGUGCCCAGUAGUGGGGGAUAGCUCGGCGAAAGCCGGAUUAAUACCGCAUACGACCUACGGGUGAAAGCGGGGGACCGCAAGGCCUCGCGCUGUUGGAGCGGCCGAUGUCAGAUUAGGUUGUUGGUGAGGUAAAGGCUCACCAAGCCGACGAUCUGUAGCUGGUCUGAGAGGACGACCAGCCAAACUGGGGCAGAGACACGGCCCAGACUCCUACGGGAGGCAGCAGUGGGGAAGUUUGGACAAUGGGGGCAACCCUGAUCCAGCCAUGCCGCGUGCGGGAAGAAGGCCUUCGGGUUGUAAACCGCUUUUGUCGGGGAAGAAACGCUCUGGAUUAAUACCCUGGGGUAAUGACGGUACCCGAAGAAUAAGCACCGGCUAACUACGUGCCAGCCGCCGCGGUAACAC